CCUACGGGUGGCAGCAGUGGGGAAUAUUGCACAAUGGGGGAAACUCUGAUGCAGCGACGCCGCGUGAGUGAGGAAGGAUUUCGGUAUGUAAAGCUCUAUCAGCAGGGAAGAAAAUGACGGUACAUGACUAAGAAGCCCCGGCUAACUACGGGCCAGCAGCCGCGGUAAUACGUAGGGGGCAAGCGUUAUCCGGAUUUACUGGGUGUAAAGGGCGCGUAGACGGCUAAUCAAGUCAGAAGUGAAAACCCGGGGCUCAACUUUGGGACUGCUUUUGAAACUGAGUAGCUAGAGUGCAGGAGAGGUAAUCGGAAUUCCUAGUGUAGCGGUGAAAUGCGUAGAGAUUAGGAGGAACACCAGUGGCGAAGGCGGCUUACUGGACUGUAACUGACGUUGAGGCUCGAAAGCGUGGGGAGCAAACAGGAUUAGAUACCCCUGUAGUC
rnacentral:rRNA from 1 species